rnacentral:lncRNA from 1 species
AUGCUUGACAGUUUGUGAGUAACAUGAUGGAACAAAAAUAGAGGACAAAGUGGAGGAAUAACUAUACCAAUUAAGAGGAUAAGAUACUUUAGUAAAUUGUCGAAGUAUAGACUCUGGAGGGACAACCUUAAAGGAAAUAGUAGAGACAGGUUCAGGAGUAGUCUUAGAUGGCUGAACAGUCUCCCGAAGGAGCAAAGUCUGUUGACAUCGUUGAUAGACACAUUCAGGUUUGAAGAGCCCAAAAGAUUGUGAGUCCUCAAUGGUAGGAAGAAAAAUACUAACAAGGGAUGAUUCCACAUAGUUAGAAAUGAAAUAUUGAUUCUAACAGAAGAAAAUAACAUUCCUAAAGAUACAAAAUUUGUUAGAACUGAUAUCGUAACAAACAAAAUCUUUUUGGAGGACAAGAUACAAUGUCCCAAGUGUGAUUCUUUUGGAGAGCUUGGAGUUCCUCUUUCAUUACUUUCUGCCAACACUCAUGCUUGACAGUUUGUGAGUAACAUGAUGGAACAAAAAUAGAGGACAAAGUGGAGGAAUAACUAUACCAAUUAAGAGGAUAAGAUACUUUAGUAAAUUGUCGAAGUAUAGACUCUGGAGGGACAACCUUAAAGGAAAUAGUAGAGACAGGUUCAGGAGUAGUCUUAGAUGGCUGAACAGUCUCCCGAAGGAGCAAAGUCUGUUGACAUCGUUGAUAGACACAUUCAGGUUUGAAGAGCCCAAAAGAUUGUGAGUCCUCAAUGGUAGGAAGAAAAAUACUAACAAGGGAUGAUUCCACAUAGUUAGAAAUGAAAUAUUGAUUCUAACAGAAGAAAAUAACAUUCCUAAAGAUACAAAAUUUGUUAGAACUGAGAUCGUAACAAACAAAAUCUUUUUGGAGGACAAGAUACAAUGUCCCAAGUGUGAUUCUUUUGGAGAGCUUGGAGUUCCUCUUUCAUUACUUUCUGCCAACACUCAUGCUUGACAGUUUGUGAGUAACAUGAUGGAACAAAAAUAGAGGACAAAGUGGAGGAAUAACUAUACCAAUUAAGAGGAUAAGAUACUUUAGUAAAUUGUCGAAGUAUAGACUCUGGAGGGACAACCUUAAAGGAAAUAGUAGAGACAGGUUCAGGAGUAGUCUUAGAUGGCAGAACAGUCUCCCGAAGGAGCAAAGUCUGUUGACAUCGUUGAUAGACACAUUCAGGUUUGAAGAGCCCAAAAGAUUGUGAGUCCUCAAUGGUAGGAAGAAAAAUACUAACAAGGGAUGAUUCCACAUAGUUAGAAAUGAAAUAUUGAUUCUAACAGAAGAAAAUAACAUUCCUAAAGAUACAAAAUUUGUUAGAAC